CUCUCUCUCUCUCUCUCUCUCUCUCUGCAACUCCACGACUCUCUCCUUCUACCAGCCCCCGACUCUAUCUUGUCUCUCUGCUGUCAUUUUGGGAGAAGGCCCCUGUUUUUAGACUGGUUUUCCGAAAUUUUCAUUUGGGCAAACCACCCUAAUUUCAGGGCUUACGAUCGAGCCGCCAUUAAGUUCAGGGGAGUCGAUGCAGACAUCAAUUUCAACCUUAGUGAUUAUGAUGAAGAUCUGAAAUAGGGUGACUUCAGCUUUGAUGACAGACUUGGAAGACCAUCUCUUCAUCCACGAAGCAGUUGAUUUCCAGUCUUCUGAUUGUCGAUCCUCACAGAAGACCACUGCACAACAGGAACCUCUCUGUCUAGGAUGUGAACAAAUUUGCUGGAGGGAGACGAUCAAUUUUAUUGAAUUGAUCUCUGCAGGUGCUGAUGUCUCGAUGGAUCUAGGAAAGGCUUGCAAAGAAAUCCAUUGGCAUAUUCCUUUUUGGGUCUCCAAGGAUUUUUGGAAAGGAGUUUCUAUUUAAAAAUAAAAUAAAAUUUAUCCGGAACAGUAAAUGCCGCAAUCCCAAUUUUUAUUUUUAUUUUCUAAUAGAGAGAAUGAUGAAGCUUGGAACGUUGUCCCAAUUGUCAGAUAUAUGAAUCCAUCUCACUUAGUCAUGGUCAUGAGUCCCUCAGGAGUGGAGAUAUAUAUAAAGUUGAAAUUGUGUUUAGGUUUCUAGAUGGAAAUUUUGAUCUGAAAAGACUAGACCAUAUUGAAGAUGAGCCAAAUUUUUCUGCAACUGCAGGCAGUUCAUAUCAUAAUGCAUCUUUAAGUGUGAUGGACAUGGAAUUGGCUGCAAAGGUAUCUUCUACUGGUAACUGUGGAGAGAGAUAUAAGCCAGAAGAAUAUAUUCAUCAUUUAUUAAACCAAAUUGAUAGGGCUAUAAGUGCUGGUUGAAAAUGGUGAAUUUCCUUCUCUUGUUUUACUCCCCAGAGAUGUAUUUAAUUAUUUG